UUCCGGUUGAUCCUGCCGGACCCGACUGCUAUCAGAGUGAGAUUAAGCCAUGCGAGUUAACGUAGCAAUACGUGGCGCACGGCUCAGUAACACGUAGUCAACAUGCCCAGAGGACGUGGAUAACCUCGGGAAACUGAGUCCAAACCGCGAUAAGUGAGGAUUUCUGGAAUGGUUCCUGACUAAAAUCUAUAUGGCCUCUGGAUUGGACUGCGGCCGAUCAGGCUGUUGGUGAGGUAAUGGCCCACCAAACCUGUAACCGGUACGGGCUCUGAGAGGAGGAGCCCGGAGAUGGGCACUGAGACAAGGGCCCAGGCCCUAUGGGGCGCAGCAGGCGCGAAACCUCUGCAAUAGGCGAAAGCCUGACAGGGUUACUCUGAGUGACUUUCGCUAAGAAAGUCUUUUGGCACCUCUAAAAAGGGUGCAGAAUAAGGGGUGGGCAAGUCUGGUGUCAGCCGCCGCGGUAAUACCAGCACCCCGAGUGGUCGGGACGUUUAUUGGGCCUAAAGCAUCCGUAGCCGGUUCUGCAAGUCCCCCGUUAAAUCCAGCUGCUCAACAGAUGGGCCGCGGAGGAUACUACAGAGCUAGGAGGCAGGAGAGGCAAGCGGUACUCAGUGGGUAGGGGUAAAAUCCGUUGAUCCAUUGAAGACCACCAGUGGCGAAGGCGGCUUGCCAGAAUGCGCUCGACGGUGAGGGAUGAAAGCUGGGGGAGCAAACCGGAUUAGAUACCCGGGUAGUCCCAG
rnacentral:rRNA from 1 species